AGAUUGAACGCUGGCGGCAGGCCUAACACAUGCAAGUCGAACGGCAGCACAGUAAGAGCUUGCUCUUAUGGGUGGCGAGUGGCGGACGGGUGAGGAAUACAUCGGAAUCUGCCUAUUUGUGGGGGAUAACGUAGGGAAACUUACGCUAAUACCGCAUACGACCUACGGGUGAAAGCGGAGGACCUUCGGGCUUCGCGCAGAUAGAUGAGCCGAUGUCGGAUUAGCUAGUUGGUGGGGUAAAGGCCCACCAAGGCGACGAUCCGUAGCUGGUCUGAGAGGAUGAUCAGCCACACUGGAACUGAGACACGGUCCAGACUCCUAGGGAGCAGGCAGUGGGGAAUAGUUGGAACAAGUGGGCGCAAGCCUGAUCCAGCCAUGCCGCGUGAGUGAAGAGUCCUUGGUUGUAAGCUUCGUUUGUAGGGAAGAAAGCUAAGUACGGUUAAUACCCGGUUGUUACGU
rnacentral:rRNA from 1 species